CAAUGUUCAGAAUGCAUGGAACGGCUGGAGAACAACAGCUUCCCAUACCAGAGGAUAUUGAGAAACAGAAUGAAAGGAGGUAACUCCGAAGUCCUUGUUAGAUGGGCUCCCUGCACAUCAUGUGGAAUCAAGUGGAAAGACUCUUGGGAGCCAUCAUCAUUUGUUUGACUGUAAUAUUGAAGUGUAUUUGUUAGUGAUUCUACGGGCUCAUGUAAAAAAAAAAAUAAAAAUAAAUAAAGCAUGCUUUUACCAUUGCUAAAACAGUUCAGAUAGGACAGUUAUUAUCAGUUCAGCCAUGUUGCUCACUAAUCCACAUGCAGUAUUUGUUAGA